GGUCAGGUAGCUCAGUUGGUAGAGCAACGGACUGAAAAUCCGUGUGUCGGCGGUUCAAAUCCGUCCCUGACCACCA
rnacentral:tRNA from 2 species